UAACCAUUUAAUAUUGGUUUGAUACCACUGUGGCCUAUCCCGUCUGCAGAAAUCGUGUCGCAUGCCAUUGAAAAUGUGUUGCAGGUGUGGUGCUCUCGUUGCCAAUGCUUAUGAAUGGAAGGCCCAAACAUUGAAAUUAUGUGAAUGCGAAUUUGGAGCGGCACAAGGAAAAACUACAAAGAAAGUGCGGAAUGGGCUUUUGCAAUCUUUAGAGGACUUCAAAAACGACAGCAGCAAGUGAAGCAAAUAGCCGCAGGUUGCGACCGCAGUUGCACCGCACACAAUGUGGCAGUUGCUGUUGCUGUAAUUACAGUGCACUCCCAGACAGUGAGCCCUCCCCGCGCUGCCCGCACUGAGCAAAUUAGCAUCUGGUUAACAAGUGCGCCGCGGUUAAACGGUGAAAAUCUUCGACUCUUUGGUGGCGCAGCAUAAUUAGAAUCAAUUAUAUUGAAUUGGAGCAGACAGUGAGUGCAAGAUGGGAGUGGACUGGCAGCCGACUUUGUAAUUGAUGAGAGAAGCCGUUGAUUUGUUUUUCACAUUUAAGUAAGAAUUUUGGAGAUAAUCCCAGAGUCAUUUCAUUAUGUUCACUUUUAGAUUUUUUAAGUGAUAACCUCUAAAGAUGUUUUUUAAAUUGUUAAAGUUAGUUCCAAGUUUCAAAUUAUCACAGACUUUAGACUUGACAUAAAAGAUUCUUUUUUGUUAUUUCUUAAGCAAUAUUAAAAACCAAGUAGACAAGUUUCUGAUAAUAAGGAAACAAAAUUUAAACAGUAGGAUUUAUAUCAUUUUUUUGCUAGCAACUCAUUAAUUUUUUUUUGUUCGACACAGUACAAUAACAAGUCAAACAAAUGAGAGGAAAACUGAAAAUGAUUUUGCGAAAAAUCUUUGGGAUUUCAAUAUGUAAACUCGCUUUCAUGUGUAUGGGUAUUGUAUGUUUUUCUUGGUUGUUAAAAAUAGAAAAUUUUGUAUUUUUCUUAUUUAAUGCUUUUGGCCGUUGCCCGUUUGCCUUUCGCUGGUUUUUGCUGUUGCUGUUCUGGCCAUUCGACUUGUAAAUCGUCGGCUUGCAUUAGCCAUGUAUUUGUUGCAUUUGUUAAUAUUCGAAAUUCGAAUUGUUGUUGCGGCGGCGAUGUUGAAACCGCAGAAAGAGCACGAAAUACGCAACAAAAACAAUGGUCGAGCGUCUAGUGAUCGGCGCUGCACAGUGGGCCUAAGAAGAGGCCUAAACUUUGACCUUGUUAGGAUCAGAAAGGUCCUUUGAAUAUUGUAAAAGAUUAAACAAAUUCUACUAAACGUUACGAACAAUUUUUAAAAUAUUUUUAUCUAGAAUACUGUUAAAUAUUUAUAAACUGACACAUUACUAUAUUU